rnacentral:lncRNA from 1 species
AAGCAUUUCCAUGAACUACCGCACAUAACUUUAUAAAAGACAAUGUUAUUACCCCUGCUUCUUAGACAAGGACACACUCAAGGGCAGGGAGGGUAAAUGGCGCUUGGAAAGGGAAACAGCAAAUAAGAGAGAGCUGGAUCCCACAGCCACAACUUUCUGACCUCAGGGCCAGCCCUACGCCAUCAAUGGUGUUAUUGGGGGUCUUGUGGCGCAUGUCCCUGUGGGACUGGUGGCAGCGUGGGUCAGUGUGGGGCUCCAAAGGGUUCUUAGAGGAUUUCCUCAGGCCCCACUCCUGGCAGCCAGCCCAGCCAGGCUGCCCAACAGCAACGUCCUACAUGCUGUGCUCAGAGGGGUGGGUGCUUCUUCGCUUUGCUGUGCUGGAAGCCAUGUGCGCUCUUCUCCAUCUGUGACCCCGUUAGGUCUCGGGGAAAGUUGAACCAGGUGAUUUCUUAUCUCUCAUCCCAAGUAGUUCCUGUUUUUGAAGACAGGUGAGUGCUACCUCUGCCGUACCAGGGCCAUGUGCUAUGAAUUAUCUUUUCUGAAGUUAGAAGGUAUAUCUAGUUCUCACCAUCAUCUGCAAAUGCCAAGGUUGCUGACAGGGCGCUGAGCAGAGAACCUGGCCCACAAACAGUUGACGCGAGGAUUCUGGCCUCCUCCCCUGGGAGCGAACCGUUGAAGCUGGCUGGACCCAGCCUCACUCCAGGGAGCAGGCCUGUUUUUCCAUCAAAUGCUCAGGAAAAUGUCUAGGUGACGUUGGAAAGCUGUAGAAUAAAACCAAUGUCUCAGCUUCAGUGAACCCCGAUGUCUCGGGAGAGGCUGAUUUUCCCUGCUAUAGAACUGCGUCAGACGCCUGAGAUGCAUGCAUCCUGCUGCUCGCCACGCCCGUGCCCGGUCACAGAGGCUCCUAGCGCUCGCAUCCUCAGGCCUGCGCGCUGCUGGGGGAGGAACACACCCGGCCAAGUGCAGCUCAUUUAUGGGCCCAGGGCUGAGAGCAGCUGCCUUUCAUCGUCUCCCUCAGAUUAA